rnacentral:rRNA from 1 species
UACAGAGGGUGCGAGCGUUGUCCGGAAUUACUGGGCGUAAAGCGCACGUAGGCGGCUUUGCAAGUUAGAGGUGAAAGCCCGGGGCUCAACUCCGGAAUUGCCUUUAAAACUGCAUCGCUAGAAUUGUGGAGAGGUAAGUGGAAUUCCGAGUGUAGAGGUGAAAUUCGUAGAUAUUCGGAAGAACACCAGUGGCGAAGGCGACUUACUGGACACAUAUUGACGCUGAGGUGCGAAAGCGUGGGGAGCAAACAGG